rnacentral:misc_RNA from 1 species
AAACUGCGAUAAGUAGUGUGAAUUGCAGAAUCCGCGAAUCAUCAAAUUCUUUAACGCAAAUGGCACUUCUCGGUUCUCCGAGAAGUAUGUCUGUUUCAGCAUCAGUAAAACCUAAACUCAACGCGUUGUGCGUGUUGGAGAUGAGGGUCAUGCUUCUGCUAAGGGAGUAUGUCCUUUGAAAGAUAGAGACGUGCGCAACUGGCUUCCCGGUUCAAUGCGCUCUCAGUGUUGGUAGAAAAAACUUUUUUUGCGUGCGCUGAGAGUUGAUCUAGGCGGAGUCGUUGUGAGUGACACGGCGAAAUAGCUAAAUUCUCAAACUCUGAUCUGAAAUCAGGCAAGGCUACCCGCUGAAUUUAA